rnacentral:tmRNA from 1 species
GGGGCCGACCGGUUUUGACAGGAUGUGUAGGUGCGUAGGCCAGCAUGCAGGCUCAUGGGAUGAGAGCCUUUAAAAGAUAGUCCUACAACCAUACUUGGCGAGUCUAACUACGCCUUGGCUGCUUAACCUGACGAUAUGUUAGGUAAGCUUGUCCCCGAUAAGAUCGGGGAGGCCAACAUCGCCCUCCUUCGUUGUUCUGCCGGGGGUGGACAUGCGGUGUCGUUUGCCGGAACUGCCCUGUGCGAGGUUACUAAGCACGGAUAAGAUAUAGUGACUAAGGGAACGUUGAGGUCGUUGACUGCCUUGCUUUCCCCGACAACCAAAGUUGACUAAGCAUGUAGAAUCUACGCGUUUAUCUUCCCUGGACCUGGGUUCGAUUCCCAGCGGCUCCACAA